rnacentral:lncRNA from 1 species
UUUUUUUUUUGAAACGGAAAAUUUUAUUAAGCACACUCAAUAACAAGUAGGGUGGCAUUUAGAAUGGGGAAGUAUACUUUUUUCCCACCAUGGUCAAGUUGUUUUUUGACCAUUGGAUGAAAUAAGGAGCACAAAUGUACAAUGUGUCUCUCACACUAGAUCUAACCACUCAUCCUCUACAACCCAUCUCCCUCCUCCAAACCACCACCAAACUCAUAACCUCUCCACUGUAACAUAAAACAAG